rnacentral:misc_RNA from 1 species
UUACAUGGAUAUGACGGGUACAGUCU